CCUACGUGGAGCAGCAGUGAGGAAUAUUGGUCAAUGGGCGGGAGCCUGAACCAGCCAAGCCGCGUGAGGGAAGAAGGUACAGCGUAUCGUAAACCUCUUUUGUCAGGGAACAAAGGCGGGGACUAGUCCCCGGAUGAGGGUACCUGAAGAAAAAGCAUCGGCUAACUCCGUGCCAGCAGCCGCGGUAAUACGGAGGAUGCGAGCGUUAUCCGGAUUUAUUGGGUUUAAAGGGUGCGCAGGCGGCCUGUUAAGUCAGGUGUGAAAGGCCGGGGCUCAACCCCGGGACUGCAUUGAAAACUGGCAUGCUGGAGUGCCGGAGGGGCAAGCGGAAUUCCUAGUGUAGCGGUGAAAUGCGUAGAUAUUAGGAGGAACACCGGUGGCGAAGGCGGCUUGCUGGACGGUAACUGACGUUGAGGCUCGAAAGCGUGGGGAGCAAACAGGAUUAGAUACCCCAGUAGUC
rnacentral:rRNA from 1 species